rnacentral:rRNA from 1 species
CGUACACUCCUGCGGGAGGCAGCAGUGGGGAAUAUUGGACAAUGGGCGCAAGCCUGAUCCAGCCAUGCCGCGUGAGUGAUGAAGGCCCUAGGGUUGUAAAGCUCUUUCACCGGUGAAGAUAAUGACGGUAACCGGAGAAGAAGCCCCGGCUAACUUCGUGCCAGCAGCCGCGGUAAUACGAAGGGGGCUAGCGUUGUUCGGAUUUACUGGGCGUAAAGCGCACGUAGGCGGACUAUUAAGUCAGGGGUGAAAUCCCGGGGCUCAACCCCGGAACUGCCUUUGAUACUGGUAGUCUUGAGUUCGAGAGAGGUGAGUGGAAUUCCGAGUGUAGAGGUGAAAUUCGUAGAUAUUCGGAGGAACACCAGUGGCGAAGGCGGCUCACUGGCUCGAUACUGACGCUGAGGUGCGAAAGCGUGGGGAGCAAACAGGAUUAGAUACCCGUGUAGUCCCA